AACGUAGGUGGCGAGCGUUAUCCGGAUUUACUGGGCGUAAAGGGUGUGCAGGCGGGCUGUUACGUGGUGUAUGAAAUAUCCCGGCUCAACCGGGAGAGGUUAUGCCAGACUGGCAGUCUAGAGAGCGAGAGAGGGACGUGGAAUUCCGGGUGUAGUGGUGAAAUGCGUAGAGAUCCGGAGGAACCCCAGAGGCGAAGGCGGCGUCCUGGCUCGCAUCUGACGCUCAGACACGACAGCAUGGGGAGCGAACGGG
rnacentral:rRNA from 1 species